rnacentral:rRNA from 1 species
AGUGAACGCUGGCGGUAGGCCUAACACAUGCAAGUCGAACGGCAGCACAGUAAGAGCUUGCUCUUACGGGUGGCGAGUGGCGGACGGGUGAGGAAUACAUCGGACUCUACUUUUUCGUGGGGGAUAACGUAGGGAAACUUACGCUAAUACCGCAUACGACCUACGGGUGAAAUCAGGGUAUCUUCGUACCUUGCGCGAUUGAAUGAGCCGAUGUCGGAUUAGCUAGUUGGCGGGGUAAAGGCCCACCCAGGCGACGAUCCGUAGCUGGUCUGAGAGGAUGAUCAGCCACACUGGAAAUGAGACACGGUCCAGACUCCUACGGGAGGCAGCAGUGGGGAAUAUUGGACAAUGGGCGCAAGCCUGAUCCAGCCAUACCGCGUGGGUGAAGAAGGCCUUCGGGUUGUAAAGCCCUUUUGUUGGGAAAGAAAAGCAGCAGGUUAAUACCCCGCUGUUCUGACGGUACCCAAAGAAUAAGCACCGGCUAACUUCGUG